rnacentral:sRNA from 1 species
AAUAAUCUUGUUUUCCUUACCCUUAACGAGGUUAGUAAAGUUAUUACCAAAAUCCGUAAAGUUACCCCAGACACCAAUGUUGGAGUUAAGUACUAGCGCUUUACUUACCAAAGAAGGGUUGAGUUCCUUGGAGAAGACCCCGUUAAAGGGAACAUAACCAGUUGGCUUGACGUACUCAAUCUUGUACUUGUCUUUGGUGGUAGAAGAGGUACUUCCACCCCCACAAGAGCCACCGCCAGACGAAGUACCACC